CAAGUCGAACGGAUAUCUUCGGAUAUGAGUGGCGAACGGGUGAGUAACACGUAGUGAACCUGCCUGCAUGAGCGGGAGAACUUCUGGAAACGGAAGCUGAUACCGGAUGAGCAAAGAGGAGGCAUCUUCUUUUUGGAAAAGGGGACAAGAGUCCCGCAUGCAGAUGGACCUGCGGUGCAUUAGCUGGUUGGAGAGGUAACGGCUCACCAAGGCGACGAUGCAUAGCCGGCCUGAGAGGGCGGACGGCCACACUGGGACUGAGACACGGCCCAGACUCCUGCGGGAGGCAGCAGUAGGGAAUUUUCGUCAAUGGGGGGAACCCUGAACGAGCAAUGCCGCGUGAGCGAGGAAGGUCUUCGGAUCGUAAAGCUCUGUUGCCGGGGACAAAAGGCAGAAAGAGUGGAAAGCUUUCUGAGCGAUGGUACCCGGCGAGGAAGUCACGGCUAACUACGUGCCAGCAGCCGCGGUAAUACGUAGGUGGCGAGCGUUAUCCGGAAUGAUUGGGCGUAAAGGGUGCGCAGGCGGCCGGGCAAGUCCGCAGUAAAAACUGGAGGCUCAACCUUCAGGGGCUGCGGAAACUGUCCGGCUGGAGAGCAGGAGAGGACGGUGGGACUCCAUGUGUAGCGGUAAAAUGCGUAGAUAUAUGGAAGAACACCGGUGGCGAAGGCGGCCGUCUGGCCUGCAUCUGACGCUGAGGCACGAAAGCGUGGGGAGCAAAUAGGAUUAGAUACCCUGGUAGUCCACACUGUAAACGAUGGAUACUAGAUGUAGGAGGUAUCGACUCCUUCUGCGUCG
rnacentral:rRNA from 1 species